rnacentral:rRNA from 1 species
AUACGGGGGGUGCAAGCGUUGUCCGGAAUCAUUGGGCGUAAAGGGUUCGUAGGUGGAAUUAGGAGUCUGGUGUUAAAGCCCACAGCUCAACUGUGGAACUGCACUGGAUACUGUUUUUCUUGAGUUAUAGAGGGGUUUGUGGAAUUUCUGGUGUAGAGGUGAAAUUUGUAGAGAUCAGAAAGAACACCGGUGGCGAAGGCGACAAACUGGCUAUUAACUGACACUGAGGAACGAAAGCGUGGGGAGCGAACAGGAUUAGAUACCCUAGUAGUCC